rnacentral:rRNA from 1 species
AACGAACGCUGGCGGCAGGCCUAAUACGUGCAAGUCGAACGCACCGCAAGGUGAGUGGCAGACGGGUGAGUAACGCGUGGGAAUCUUCCUUGCAGUACGGAAUAACUCCGGGAAACCGGUGCUAAUACCGUAUACGCCCUUUGGGGGAAAGAUUUAUCGCUGCAAGAUGAGCCCGCGUCGGAUUAGCUAGUUGGUGGGGUAAUGGCCUACCAAGGCGACGAUCCGUAGCUGGUCUGAGAGGAUGAUCAGCCACACUGGGACUGAGACACGGCCCAGACUCCUACGGGAGGCAGCAGUAGGGAAUAUUGGACAAUGGGCGAAAGACUGAUCCAGCCAGGCCGCGUGAGUGAAGAAGGCCUUAGGGUUGUAAAGCUCUUUUGGCGGGGACGAUAAUGACGGUACCCGCAGAAUAAGCUCCGGCUAACUUCGUGCCAGCCGCCGCAGUAA